AUGUCCUUAUAGUCUAGGAAGUGGUCUUUAUUCAUGUUUUAUGUGUCAGACUCCCAGUGUAAGGAGGUGGUGGAGAUGCUGGAGCAGGAGGGUCUAGCAGAGAUCAGCCAGAGCAGUGCCAGUGAGCAGGUGGCCUAUCUGCUGGUGGAGAGAGUCACUCUGAUGGAGAGACUGGAGGCUGCGGAAAGAAAACUGGACACCCAGACCCUCACCGGCAACCUCAGAGAGGUGCAUCUUCAGGAAGAGCUGGAUCAUAUGCGUCACACAUUGGAAGAGGAACUCAGGCAGCAAAAGGAAAAUAUGAAUAAGGACCACAGUGAAGAGUUCAAUAGAGAAUGCACAGUGUGCCAGAGGCUGGAGAGGGAUCUGGAAGAGGCAUCGAGUCGUCUUGCUAUGGCACAUAAAGAGAUUCGCCACCUGAAGGAUGAACUAGAUCUCGCUCGUAAGGUCCAAAACGUGUGUGUACCUGACCUGCAGAAAACUGGGGAUGAAGUGGAGCAGUUGGAACAGGAAGUGGACAAGCUUAAACAGUGUGGUGAGAUUGUGUUUGAUACUGCAGCAAGAUAUCACGUGUCUCUUUAAAAACUUCUCACAUUUGGUCAUGGUUUAUGACUAUAUUCAAGUUUAUUUAUAAAACACUUUAAAAAAAAUUACAGUGUAGACAAAGAGCUGUAAAUAAAGACAGAACAAACCAGACAAAACAUAAAAGACAUUUCAAAUGAUGUGUUCUGGUUGUAAUCCACAUGUUGGACAGAUAUGGUGGAGCUGCAGAAGGCCAAGGAACGCAAUGAAAGAUUGGAUAGUGAGAUUUGCGUGCUAAGGUAUAGAGUUCGCUCCUUGGACACAGAGAGGAGGACUCUUCUUAAACUGGCAAGAAUAAUUUUUUUUUAACUGCCACUACCUAUCAGAUAGCAAAGCAUUCUUUUAUUUCAAAGCAGUUUUAUUUGCAAACAGAGAAAUUAUAUAAUUUGCCAUUUUGGGUGUGCCACAGGUUGAACAAUCAAAGCUGCACUCAGAUCAAGGGAUCAAAGUGACAUUAGAGCACAAUAAAAUAAAUUCUACACAGGUACAUAUACAUUACACACUAUUAAAAUCUUCUCCUAAAGGGUUA
rnacentral:lncRNA from 1 species